rnacentral:lncRNA from 1 species
CACAUAUUUACUUAAUGAUUCUUACAUUAUUAAUAAUGAUUUCUUUUAUGUUUAUUUUAUGUGCAUUGGUGUUUAGCCUGCAUGUGUAUCUAUGAGAAUUGUUUGAACUCAUGGAACUGGAGUUACAGACAGUGGUGAGCUGUAGGUAGGUGCUGGGAAUUGAACCCAAGUCAUUGGGAAGAGCUGCAAGUGCUCUUAACUGCUGAGCCAUCUCCCCAGCCCCCAAAUGAAUUUGGGAAAUACUAGAAGAUAAAGCUUUGUAAAAGUAGUUUUUUAAGAUCUUAAGAAUAUAUUGAGGUAGCUAUCUGAAUUUUGACAAAGCUGCAAGUUCUUUUUUUUAAAUUGGAUUUUUAAAAAUUUAUUUACAUUUCAAAUGUUAUCCCCUCUCCUGGGUUCCCAUCCACAGACCUCCCUAUCUCAUCCCCCCUCUCCCUUCUUCUAUGAGAGUGUUCACCCACCUACCCACUCCUUCCCUCCUCCCUGCCCUGACAUUCCCCUACACUAGGGGGUCGAGUCUUGGCAGGACCAAGGGCCUCUCCUCCCAUUGAUGUCCAACAAGAGCAUCCUCUGCUACAUGUGCUGCUGGAGCUAUGGGUCCCUCCAUGUCUACUCUUUGGUUGGUGGUUUAGUCCCUGGGAGCUCGGGGGAGUCUGGUUGGUUGAUAUUGUUGUUCUUCCUAUGGGGUUGAAAACACCUUCAGCUCCUUCAGCCUUUCACUAAGUCCUCCAUUAUUAUGAUUCCUA